UACGGGGGGGGCAAGCGUUGUUCGGAAUUACUGGGCGUAAAGGGCUCGUAGGCGGCCAACUAAGUCAGACGUGAAAUCCCCAGGCUCAACCUGGGAACUGCGUCUGAUACUGGAUGGCUUGAAUCCGGGAGAGGGAUGCAGAAUUCCAGGUGUAGCGGUGAAAUGCGUAGAUAUCUGGAGGAAUACCGGUGGCGAAGGCGGCAUCCUGGGCCGGCAUUGACGCUGAGGCGCGAAAGCGUGGGGAGCGAACAGG
rnacentral:rRNA from 1 species